CACUGCAAUUAAAAGUUUGACGUUACUAAAUAGAAACAUUGCAAAUCAGCCCUCUAACUACCUUCUUGCUGUGGAGCUUGCCAAAUACCAGGGCCUCCCUAUUUCCUGAAUCAGUCUAUGGAGACUGGAUGGUGAAAAGGCGACAGUGACAACUUUGUGGUCUUGAUCCAAUAGGGAACAGCAUCUGGUUCCGUGCCCCGCCCUUCACCCCAUCCCACCCCCAUCCCAUGUGUGUGUGUGUAUACAUGUGUGUUAAACGCUUUUGAUCUCUCUGUGAUGAUCAUGUUUGGCUUUUAAAUACGUACUUUAUAUAUCUCAAAUAAGAUACAUCAGAAUUUGUUAACAUGCAGUAGUGAAAUACAGUAGCAUUUUCUAAGUUCCUGACCCCACUUCAAGAAUCCCGGUUUUCCACCCAUACCGUCACCCACUGAAACCCCCAUCAUCUUCCCAUAUCUCACCUGCCUGUGUGCUGAAAAUGUAAAUGCUGUGCGUGGUUAGUACCAAACCUCCCAGGUCAGAGAGUCCAGGAUAUGCAAUCUUUUGUUAUAUCUUUUCACAUUAAAAAAAAAAUUGCAGGGAAUCCAAUGUUCCUAAGGACCUGACUGUGCUUUCAGUUAAAAGCCCUGACAUGAGUUUCUAAACUGGAGAGCAUCCCUUAGCACUGUGAUACAGGAUCUGCUCAGUGUUCUGAACUAGCCACUGCCGAAGUAGUCAUUAUAUCUCUGUGUACUUAAAAUUUAGCAACGCUCUCAAGACAUUUCACCUGAUAUAAUAUGUAAUCAGUUUCUUCUCGUUAACUAAGGACGAGACAACAUACUUGGACUUUCUGUUCUCCAAUGAGUAACCUCCCUCUUUUCUUCCCUCCGUUCCUGUCUCCCUCCCUUCUCCCUCCCUCUUCUUCCCUGCCCCCUUCCCUACUCCUUCAUGCCCUAGCUCCAUGCACGUCCUCACUCUCCUUUCCAGCUUGAUGAAGUGACGCUUAUCCAUUAAAACUCAUAAUUCUGAAUGUACAGGUCAGCAAGUACAGGAAAUAGCUACAACCUUGCAACCGCCAUCAAGUAAGCACUUCCGUUCCUCCAUAGGCAGUGCCUGCCCCAACUCCCAACGAGUGUUGAUUGCUGUCUUUAGCUAUGUUUCUGUCUUCCGAGAACCUUACACGGACUGAGCCAUGUGGCCACUUGUGUCAGCCUCUCUCACUUAACAUGCUAUUGCUGAGACCCAUGAAUGUCCUUGUCUAUGCUGCAGUCUGAUCUUUGCAUGUCUCUACAUGGAGGCACCACUUUAUUUCAUCCGUUAACCAGUUGGGGUACUUUAUUGUUUCAUUUGCUUGUUAUUAUACCACUGUUACUCAUUCAAGUACAGGUCUUGUGUGUUGACAAAUGCUUUCUAAAUUGAUAGUGUUGUCUUACUUUUCCCCUGAAAUACAUACAGGUUCUAGAUGCUCUACCUCCCAACAUGCUACAUGUCUGCCCACAUACAUGCGCACUAGAUGCAGUUAUGGUUUCUGUUAUUACUGUUUCAUUUUACUUUAACAAGGUAGGAAUCCUCUUGCAAUAAUAAGGUGUACUUCUUGCAGCUUUUAUUUCUCAUUUUCAACCCCCCCCCAGCUCCCCAAUCAUCCACCCAAACCUCUUUGUUGUAUCGUACAACCUUUUGUACAAUAGUUUGGCCAGAAACAUCAAACCAAGUAAAGAAAUGGGAAUAUUGCAAACCAGCAGUGUCUAUGGGGUACCCUUCCCAGGCUCUUCUUCUUCCACUGAACACGGUUCUAAUGAUUUAAUACCUGAUUCAGUAUUGUCAGUGUCACUGCAGAUACAUCCUCCCUUCUUAGAAGCCUGUCCUUUCUUCAGAGUGACGAGGACAUUACCUGACCGCCUUUCAACUUUAAAAUUACCUGUCUCUUUAAGUUUCUCCACCAGACCAGCAUUCCUCAGUGCUGCAGGGCCUUUCUCUACCCCUCCUCGAGGCUGAACAAUGCAAGAAGAACAGUACUUCAGUCGUGACUGUGACUACCCAAUGCCCACAAGAGAAACUUGCCCCUUAUUUUAUCGAUUGAAUCAUUAACCACGAGUUUUUCAGCUCCCAUGAUCCAGGACCAUAUAGUUUCUCACCUAAUCUUCACAGUACUGUGGAGUGAAUUGCACCUAUCCCAACAGAAGGGACUAGAUCCACAAAGUCGUUUUCAUCCUGGCAAAUAGCAGACGAGAGGCGGAACUAGGUUUGUAAGUUGGUCUAGGGAUUCCAUGCUUGCCUCUUCCCAGCAUGCUACACUGUCCACACAUUCUGUGUAAAAUGGCUAAGUUUGGACAUUUAAUCACAACUUUUGAACACAAUUCGUAUCAGUUCCAAUACUGAUACGAAAACAGGAUGCUUUUGAUUGAGUCUAGAACAGGGCAUGCCAUAAAUGCUGGCUACAACAUGUGAUCUUUGGGCUGGGUCUUGCAACAUCGGUAGAUGGUCAGGAAAGGUGACGGGGUGAUGGAGAAACUUUGCUACCUUGGGAAAAUCUAGGGCAAAAGCAUCAGCAGGCUAAGAGUAUGGCCUGAAAAGACCUCCAUGCAAAGUCAACCUACGAGACCUGUACUUAAGUGAGUGACAGCAGUAUUUAUAAUAAUAAAAAAUGAAACAAUGAAGUACCCUAACUGGUAAAUGGAGAGUAGUUUAGGACUCUGAGGAGAAACCAGGCAAAAAUUGUCAACCGAGACCUGAAGCCACAAAGACCAGCAUAGUAACUUCAAAUUCUGACCUGUUUAAACCUGAUGUGAGAAAUCCUGCCUUGCUGAGAUAACAUCCAGAGAGCUAGCCAUCCAUCUUUCUCUUUGAAAAAAUUCUUCUGCAGCCUGGUGGUUGAUAGAAGUCUUUCUGAUCUUCAUUUCAAACACUUUAAGACACACCCAUUUUUUUUUCCAUUUAAAGACACACAGAAAGUGAUCUUGGCCAGCAGAUUGGUGUCAAAAGUCACAUGUGUUUAUCCUAAGGAUUGGGACUGUAACCCUAAACUAAGCAAAUACUUCCUCUCUGGUCAAAUGACAGAUGAUCUUCCCCAGGUGCUAGGCAAAUCCUGGUGUCAAAUUUCUACUGCUGGCUACCAAGAACCUUGAAUACUUUACCUAACAAGGUUCUGUUCCUUUACAUCUCCUAAAUUGUUUAAAUGUCAUUUUUUCAAUUGAUAUAUAUAUAUGUAUAUACAUAUAUAUAUAUAUUCAUGAGGUUUAGAGUGAUGUCUGGAUCCAUGUAGACACUGGUAAUAUAUUCAGCACCUUAAAUGCUUAUUAUUUCUUUGUAAUAAGAAUAUUAAAUGUUUUUCUGUUUUGGUGAGUGUGUAUGUGUGUGUGUGUGUUUUUGUGAACAUGUACAUAUGAGUGUGCAGGUGCACCAUGCAUGUUUGUGUGUGUGCAGACCAGAAGACAAACUCAAGAUGUCAUUCCAUCAGGUAUAAUGGUGUACACUUUUUUGUUUAUUAUAGUAUAUUUUAUUUAAUACAAUGUUUAACUAUAAAAGUUAGUACAGUUUUGAAGUUUAGAUUCUGUAAAAUGCCAUUUACAGAAAACAGUCCAACAUUUACGAGACUAAUAAGAAAAGCAGCAUUUAAACUAAUUUACAAUUGAGAAAACAAGUUUUCUAAAUUCCAUUAAAAAUAUACAUCACAGUGACUUUGGAGCUAGGAAAAGAAGUGCAUUAACUUAAUUAUGCUUUCCCCUUCCACAGAGAAAUGGUGCACCCUUUUAAUUUCACCACUUGGGAGAGAGAGACGAAUGUGAUCUAGGCCACCCUGAUUUUAACUCCACAUAUAUGUGGAGAGAGAGAGGGAGGGAGGGAGAAAGGGACAGAGACAGAGAACAGCUUCAUGCUAUCCAGUGAAACCCCAUCUUAAAAAGAAUUUCCAUUUUACAGACUCUGUCCAGCCCUUUAAUAAAUGAUGCUGUGUGUGUGUGUGUGUGUGUGUGUGUGUGCGCGCACGCGCGCGCGUGUGUGUUGGGGGUGUGUGUCUCUCACUAGCCUGGAAUACACAAAUUACACAAAUAGGCUGGCCUGACUAACCAGAGUUUCAACUCUCUCUACCUUCCCAGCCCUGGAAUUAUAGAUAUAUAUACCACCAGGUAUUUUGGGUUUUUGUUUGUUUGUUUUAUUUUUAAGACUGAUUUGGGGACUCAAACUCAAGUCCUCAUGCCUGUGUAGCAAGCUCUUUACCAGUUUAUUUGUCUUCCCAGCCCUGGUGAACUAUUCCUAACUGUGCUCACCAUGGGUUCUAUUGGCUUACAGUUUCAUAGCCUUUGGUCUUACCGGCAGAUUUCAACGGAAAUGUUUUUACCAGUAGGGCUCUGUGUGGUGCAGUAGAGGACUGACAUAUAGAUGGUACCCGAAGUACAACUUAAUGUGACUCACAGUCUCUCCUCUUCUCCUCUCCAGGCAUCAUAACAACCCUGCAUAGACCUCUCAGUUGACAGUCAGUAGGUUUCUCCACGGAGUGAUUGGGUUUGUUUUGUCUUGUUAAUACAUGUUCUCACAUAGCCCAGGCUAGCCUCAAACUCACUGCAUAGCUAAGGAUAACCUUGAACUUCAGAUCCUCGUCUCCUUACCUCUUCAGUUUGGGAACUACAAGGGUCUGUCACCAUACUCAGUUUAUGUAGUUGGGCGGUCUAACCUAGGGUUUUGUGUCAUCAAGCUUGCACAACCCUUUACCAACCACAUCCCUAGCCCCUCACAAUAGCAUUUUCUAGCAUUCCAUUUUAUUGCUUUGAUUAAAAUGACUUCUCAUGAUUGCUGUAUGCUCAUUGCUUCAUUUCUUUGCCCACUUUAGAAACUGCUUUGACAGCAAGCCUGGCCAUUAAAAGUGUCCUGUCCAGCCCCUUAACUGGCCACAAAGCAAAGAUUUGCUAUAGAGCUGAACCUUCUAAAUCAGCAUCAGUGUAGACCAGGGAUACAAGCUUUGGAAGCAAACAAUCCUGUCUGGAAGCACACAGUGAAGAUUCCAUGACUAUGAGUAAACUAACAGAUCACUCUAAGCCGUCUACCUGUGGACCUCUUUGGGGUCGCAUAUCAGAUAUUUACAUUACAAUUCAUAACACAGUAGCAAAAUUAAAGUUAUGAAGUAGCAAUAAGAUAAUUGUGUUGUGUUGCUGGGCGUCACCACAACAUGAGGAAUAAAGGGUCACAGCAUUAGGAAAGUUGAGAGUCACUGCAAGCCGUAAUUAACUCAGUCAUCCCAUGAAAACAAUACCUAGCAACCUCAUCUUUAUUCACUGUCUUGGAAUGAGGUGAGGCAGAGAAUGGGGCUGUUUCUCAAACUUCUAACCACUUCCCUCUAACCUUCUCCUUUUUGCCAGCGUGUCAGACUCCUGCCACACUUAGGAAGGCCAACUGCACGGAUAUGCUGGCAGUGUCACCCUCUGAUACAUGGCUUACAACAGGGGACUCUGUCUCUACUCUUGAGACAAUGAGCUGCAGAUUCACGCCCAUGUUGAAGGAGAAUCUCUGACAGAGGAGCGUUACUAAGGAUGAGACAGUGCAGCAGAUGGUGUUUUACCGUAUUCUCGCCUAGAAGGGCCUGGAGGUCAGCUCUCUGCCUAAGCCCAGAGGCCAAGACUCACCCACACGAGGAGUGAAGGACAUGGAAGGUCAACACCCCUGUAUCUCUGGGAGCCAAGCUUUCCCGGGACAGCCAUAUAUGACCUGACCAGGUGACAGAGGUCUGCAAACACGACCGCUCAUAGCCCAGGAAGACCCUGAAACACGGCCUUGGUGUCUGCAUACGAUAGUUCCUCAUUUUGGAGGUUUCAACUGCAGAUCCUCAGGAGGGAUUGGCAAUAGCAAGAUGGAGAAAGGCAACUAAAAGCACUAGACUCAUGAGCAGAUAAAGAGUCGCCUUGAUGUGUUCCAGGAAAUGACAGAAAAACUCAUUCCCUUGCACGUUUGAGCAGGGACUGGAGCUGUAGGACUACCUCAAGUGACCUUUGCUGGCGGUCAGAUUUACUCUAUCAUUAAAUGCAGCCUGGGACAUAGAAUCACAGACAGGAAAUAGCUGUGGCUACUAAGGAGGAAUGGCUUGACCAAAUCACACAAGCCAAUUGAGCCUAGAACUGACAAUGGGAAACACAGUUUGGGCUUCUUCUGUGUAGUGUUUAUUUUCUCUUGUCUACUCUCUCCAUACUCACAAGACUUGAAAGACUCUUAUACGUUAGUUCUGCAGCUUUUAAGAGAUUCAAGGGAUUUGAAGACUCAGAAAUAAAAACUAAUGAAUAGUGGGUUAUAUGUUCUGCAGAAAAAGUAAUCAUUUUUCUACCCAAACCAAGAGAGAAAAACCGUGUGUGUGUGUGUUUGGUCAAUUAAGUGAUAAAUACACUAGACUCUACUUUUGGGGGAAAUUUGACAAGCUAAUACAAGCUUUUCUUUUUGAAGAGGUUUUCAGUGUAUCUAUGUAUUGAUUGGUGCUUAUCAUAAAUUUAUAAUUGUUAAAGGAA